GGAUGGGUGGCCGAGUGGUCGAAGGCGGCAGUCUUGAAAACUGCUGUACCCGUGAGGGUACCCUGGGUUCGAAUCCCAGCCCAUCCG
rnacentral:tRNA from 2 species